UACGUAGGGGGCGAGCGUUGUCCGGAUUUAUUGGGCGUAAAGCGCGCGCAGGCGGUCUUCCAAGUCAGUGGUGAAAGCCCGGAGCUCAACUCCGGAACUGCCAUUGAAACUGUUGGACUUGAGUACGAGAGAGGUGAGUGGAAUUCCCAGUGUAGAGGUGAAAUUCGUAGAUAUUGGGAAGAACACCGGUGGCGAAGGCGGCUCACUGGCUCGUAACUGACGCUCAGGCGCGACAGCGUGGGGAUCAAACAGG
rnacentral:rRNA from 1 species